AACGAACGCUGGCGGCAGGCUUAACACAUGCAAGUCGAACGCUCCGCAAGGAGAGUGGCAGACGGGUGAGUAACACGUGGGAACGUACCCUUUACUACGGAACAACUCCGGGAAACUGGAGCUAAUACCGCAUGUGCCCUUUGGGGGAAAGAUUUAUCGGUAAAGGAUCGGCCCGCGUUGGAUUAGCUAGUUGGUGGGGUAAAGGCCUACCAAGGCGACGAUCCAUAGCUGGUCUGAGAGGAUGAUCAGCCACGUUGGGACUGAGACACGGCCCAAACUCCUACGGGAGGCAGCAGUGGGGAAUAUUGGACAAUGGGCGCAAGCCUGAUCCAGCCAUGCCGCGUGUGUGAUGAAGGCCUUAGGGUUGUAAAGCACUUUCACCGGAGAAGAUAAUGACGGUAUCCGGAGAAGAAGCCCCGGCUAACUUCGUGCCAGCCGCCGCAGUAAGAC
rnacentral:rRNA from 1 species